CAUUGUAAAAGUCAUCUUUAAAAAUUAGAGUUAUCUCCCAUUGUCCAGAAUUUUAGCUGAAUCAACUAUAACCAAUGCUCUGUGGACGAUACACUAUUUAAUUUUACAUCCAACUGUUAAAUUAAUGCAAUCUUUACCACUCAAUGCUUUCAAGCACUUUGAUUUUAAAUCUUUCCCAAAAAAUACCUUCACCCCUAGAAAAAAAAACAAGAAC
rnacentral:lncRNA from 1 species